GUCCAGACUUCCUGGCGGAAGCCAGCAGUGGGAAAUUUUGGACAGGGGCAGAAUGCUUCCUCCCAUCCAUGCCGGGGUGUGGAGGACGGUCCUGGGGAUAGAAACCCAUUUUAAGGUAGGAAGUACGGCCAGUAAGUUAAUCCCUUGCUGUUUCGACGUCCCCAACAGAAUAAGCAGCGGAUUAUCUUCGCACCAGCAGCCGCGAUAAUAAGAAGGGCAGCAAGCUUUAAUCAGAAUUAGUGGGAGAAAAGCGCGAGUAGGUUGUUUCAGCAAGUUGGAUGUGAACUCCCCGGGCUCCAUCGUGGGAGCUGCAUCCAAAACUAGUGAGCUAGAGUACGGUAGAGGGUGGUGUAAUUUCCUGUGCAGCGAAAAAAUGCGUAGAUAUAGGAAGCAUCACCAGUGGAGAAGGCGACCACGUGGACCGAUACUGACACUGAGGUGAGAAAGCGUGGGGAGCAAACAGGAUUAGAUACCGUGGUAGUCCACGCCGUAAACGAUGUCGACUAGCCGUUGGGAUCCUGGAGAUCUUAGUGGCGCAGCAAACGCGAUAAGUCGCCCGCGUGGGGAGCACGGCCGCAAGGUAAAAUCUCAAAUGAAUUGACGGGGGCCCGCACAAGCGGUGGAGCAUGUGGUUAAAUUAGAAGCAACGAGAAGCACCUCACCUCCCCUUGACAUGGUGAGAACUUUCCAGAGAUGGAUUGGCGCUUUCGGGAUCUCAGACACAGGUGCUGCAUGGCUGUUGUCAGCUCGUGUCGUGAGAUGUUGGGUAAAGUCCCGUAACGAGCGCAACCCUUCCCCUUAGUUACCAGCACCUCGGGUGGGCACUCUAAGGAGACUGCCGGUGACAAACCGGAGGAAGGUGGGGAUGACGUCAAGUCAUCAUGGCCCUUACGCCCAGGGCUACACACGUGCUACAAUGGUCGGUACAAAGGGUUGCCAAGCCGCGAGGUGGAGCUAAUCCCAUAAAACCGAUCGUAGUCCGGAUCGCAGUCUGCAACUCGAUUGCGUGAAGUCGGAAUCGCUAGUAAUCGUGAAUCAGAAUGUCGCGGUGAAUACGUUCCCGGGCCUUGUACACACCGCCCGUCACGCCAUGGGAGUGGGUUGCUCCAGAAGUAGCUAGUCUAACCGUCAAGGGGACGGUACCACGUAGUAUCA
rnacentral:rRNA from 1 species